UAUAGUCACACCAGGUUGAAACACCGGAUCACAGCCAAUCACCGAAGUUAAGCCACGUGAAGCCUGGCCAGCACCUAGAUGGGUGACCGCUUGAAAAUACCAGGUGCAGUAAG